GACGAACGCUGGCGGCGUGCCUAAUACAUGCAAGUAGAACGCAGUUGCGAACGGGUGAGUAACGCGUAGGUAACUGCCUCAUAGCGGGGGAUAACUAUUGGAAACGAUAGCUAAUACCGCAUACUGUGAGCUGGACCGGCGUUGUAUUUGCUAGGUGGUGAGGUAAAGGCCCACCAAGGCGACGAUACAUAGCCGACCUGAGAGGGUGGACCGGCCCCCUGGGACUGGGGCCCGGGCCCAACCCCCUCGGGGAGCAGCAGUAGGGAAUCUUCGGCAAUUGACGGAAGUCCUACCGCGCAACGCCGCGUGGUUUAAGAAGGUUUUCGGAUCGUAAAGCUCUGUUGUUAGAGAAGCGGUAACUAACCAGAAAGCGACGGCUAACUCCGUGCCAGCAGCCGCGGUAAUUC
rnacentral:rRNA from 1 species